rnacentral:rRNA from 1 species
AGAGUUUGAUCCUGGCUCAGGAUGAACGCUGGCGGCGUGCCUAAUACAUGCAAGUCGAGCGAACGGACGAGAAGCUUGCUUCUCUGAUGUUAGCGGCGGACGGGUGAGUAACACGUGGAUAACCUACCUAUAAGACUGGGAUAACUUCGGGAAACCGGAGCUAAUACCGGAUAAUAUUUUGAACCGCAUGGUUCAAAAGUGAAAGACGGUCUUGCUGUCACUUAUAGAUGGAUCCGCGCUGCAUUAGCUAGUUGGUAAGGUAACGGCUUACCAAGGCAACGAUGCAUAGCCGACCUGAGAGGGUGAUCGGCCACACUGGAACUGAGACACGGUCCAGACUCCUACGGGAGGCAGCAGUAGGGAAUCUUCCGCAAUGGGCGAAAGCCUGACGGAGCAACGCCGCGUGAGUGAUGAAGGUCUUCGGAUCGUAAAACUCUGUUAUUAGGGAAGAACAUAUGUGUAAGUAACUGUGCACAUCUUGACGGUACCUAAUCAGAAAGCCACGGCUAACUACGUGCCAGCAGCCGCGGUAAUACGUAGGUGGCAAGCGUUAUCCGGAAUUAUUGGGCGUAAAGCGCGCGUAGGCGGUUUUUUAAGUCUGAUGUGAAAGCCCACGGCUCAACCGUGGAGGGUCAUUGGAAACUGGAAAACUUGAGUGCAGAAGAGGAAAGUGGAAUUCCAUGUGUAGCGGUGAAAUGCGCAGAGAUAUGGAGGAACACCAGUGGCGAAGGCGACUUUCUGGUCUGUAACUGACGCUGAUGUGCGAAAGCGUGGGGAUCAAACAGGAUUAGAUACCCUGGUAGUCCACGCCGUAAACGAUGAGUGCUAAGUGUUAGGGGGUUUCCGCCCCUUAGUGCUGCAGCUAACGCAUUAAGCACUCCGCCUGGGGAGUACGACCGCAAGGUUGAAACUCAAAGGAAUUGACGGGGACCCGCACAAGCGGUGGAGCAUGUGGUUUAAUUCGAAGCAACGCGAAGAACCUUACCAAAUCUUGACAUCCUUUGACAACUCUAGAGAUAGAGCCUUCCCCUUCGGGGGACAAAGUGACAGGUGGUGCAUGGUUGUCGUCAGCUCGUGUCGUGAGAUGUUGGGUUAAGUCCCGCAACGAGCGCAACCCUUGAGCUUAGUUGCCAUCAUUAAGUUGGGCACUCUAAGUUGACUGCCGGUGACAAACCGGAGGAAGGUGGGGAUGACGUCAAAUCAUCAUGCCCCUUAUGAUUUGGGCUACACACGUGCUACAAUGGACAAUACAAAGGGCAGCGAAACCGCGAGGUCAAGCAAAUCCCAUAAAGUUGUUCUCAGUUCGGAUUGUAGUCUGCAACUCGACUACAUGAAGCUGGAAUCGCUAGUAAUCGUAGAUCAGCAUGCUACGGUGAAUACGUUCCCGGGUCUUGUACACACCGCCCGUCACACCACGAGAGUUUGUAACACCUGAAGCCGGUGGAGUAACCUUUUAGGAGCUAGCCGUCGAAGGUGGGACAAAUGAUUGGGGUGAAGUCGUAACAAGGUAGCCGUAUCGGAAGGUGCGGCUGGAUCACCU